CUCAGAUAUUUGAACACCUGAUCAAAAUUUAUUCUGGCUGAGUGUGGUGAUGCAUGCCUAUAAUCUCGGCACUCUGGGAGACUGAGGCAGGAGGAUCACAAGUUCGAGCCCAACUUGGCCAACUUAGUGACUUAGUAAGACACUUCACAGAAAGAAAAAAAAAUAGGAUUUGGGAUGUAGUUCUGUGUGAAGGUCCUGGGUUUAAUUCUCAGUGUGAAAAAACAAUAACAAGUUGUGCGAAACGUGCCAAAUCAGCCUGGGCCCGGCAGCAAUCCACUGGACACCCCCCUCCCCCUGUACAGCCACCUGGUUCCACACUACAAAGACGCAGAGGACACCAGACCACCAGACCACUGUACUGGAAACACAAAACCAAGAGAAUGGUAACCUUGUGGAGAAAGUUUCUUCUCACAUAAAAUGAGGUGACAAAGAGGACAAACAUCAGACUUCUUGUUUGAUGGAAGGACAAGAGGAAUGUGAACAUUGUUCCUAUGACAAAAGAUGGGCAAGCCGGGGAACCAGGAUGAAAUGCAACAAACAAACAAAUAAGAAAGACCGAGUUUUCCUGAUUCAAUCGGCCUAUUUCUUUUACUCAAGAGUCUGUGUGGAAGUGAUAGAUAAUUAUUCUUCCAAACAGUUGCUUUUCACUUCCAUGAUGCAGUGCAGCUGGGACUAGACCGCCCCGUCAAAAAUUCCAUUUUUCAGCAGAACCACAUCCUCAUAAAUGAUGUGAUGGCACUUGUUUUCUACAAUGGCUUAUAAGCAGAACGAGUCACUUCUCACCUCUAGGAAUUAAUCCAGUUCCUCCUGGGUUUAAAGAAUGAAGACAAAGACCACAGCAUCCAAGAAAUGAAACAUUUAUUAAGACUGGGAAAGCUGUUUUUAAUUACCUUCUCGGGCUAUAUACGCUGAUGAAGACGGUGCUUUAACAGUGUUUUAACACAUUGCUGCCUUUUAAAGAAGAGCAACGGUUACCUCAGAAGAUCUUGGAACUGCUCCUGGACAGUCCAUGGCGAGUGGCCAUGAAUGGGGAAAUGUCAAGUCCUGCAAUGCCCAUUCAGGAGAGAGAAGGUGAUAUAAUGACAGAUCCAACAGAUACAGUAGAUUCCAUGCUCUUGUGCGUGAUGAGCAAAGAAUUGGACACAUUCAUCCAGAAGCAGAAGAAAAACAACUACAUCUUUUGAAGAUGACGGGGAGAAGUGAGCAGUGUGGUCUGCAUGAACAGAAAAAUGGGGCCAGGACAACGGGGAAGUCAAAAGCACUACAGGUGCUGUGCUAAAUGCUUUGCACAUAGUGUCUCACUGUAUCUUAAUUCUCAGAACAGUUCAGUACUUGUGCCCAGGGUUACAAGCAGUAAAAAAAAAAAAAAAAAAAAAAAAAAUAGAAGGGGAAGGCUGCUGGGAUAAUAACCAGUUCAGUCUGAUUCAAAGCCUAUGUUCUUAACUACUGUGACUUUAACCACUACCACAUAUCACUGGUACUAAUAAAC
rnacentral:lncRNA from 1 species